CAAAAGUAAAACAAAUUUUCUGCCAGUGUAUUUUUAAGGGAAAGGCUCAGUGGCUUCGGUAACUGCUCGUUUAUUCAAAUAACUGCUUACAUCGCUGACCUUUGUUUCUUUAAUUUCCAUGAAGCCAUCAUUAAACAUGGAGCAAAGACACCAACUGUUUGUAAUUGGAUACAGUUAGCCAUUUCUAUGGUGCUACACAACUAACAAUAAUUACGAGAAGAAAAAUGAGGAUCAGUUUCAUAAAUGAUAAAUUAGAAAAGGUUUUGGACUUGAAGCCCAAAUGAAGAAUCACCUUAUUCCCUCUCCCUUGACUAAAGAUAACCCUCUUCUACUAAGUGCCUGCAUUACCUAAUCAGAAUAUGAAGAAGCUGCAUCGCAGAGACUUGAAUCAUAUGGGUACAUGAAUCAUAUAAGAGAGACAGGGACCACACGAGUGUGAGUUGGGGAGAGGAGCAGAGGGAAAGAGAGAAUCUUAUGCAGACUCCACACCUAGCAUCAAUGCAGCAUUAGAUCUGACAACCUACUGAGAUCAUGACCUGAGCCGAAAUCAAGAGUCAGACACUUAACCCACUGAGCCACCCAGGCGCUCCUCCCCUUUUUCAGGAGGUUGUUUAUUUUUAAAGCAUUAGCCAGAAAUUUCUGAAUAACUUUGUUUGAUAUCCACUAAACCAAGAAGAGAGAAAGUCAAAUGGAUAUUCUUUGAAGCUAUAUACAGAAAAAUAAAAGUGCCACAUAUGAACCAAAGUAGCCAGAAAUCCUUAGUGGGGUUUUUUUUCUUCAUUUUUUAAAUGUUUAUUCAUGUUUGAGAUGGGGGAGGGGCAGAGAGAGAGGGAGACACAGAAUCUGAAGCUGUCAGCACAGAGCCCUUCACAGGGCGCAAACCCACGAAUCCUGAGAUCAGGAAUGGAGCCAAAGUCAGACGCUCUACCAACUGAGCCACCCAGGCACCCCAAUCCUUGGUAUUUUUAAAAGUUCCUCUAACAGUUCACAGUCAAUGAAAUUAUAACAGAAAGUAUAUUUUCCCACAUGCAUUUCCAUUUAUAAACCUAAAAUAGUAACUGCUGAUACAUGAACUUCAGAGUUGCUGAAAAACAUGCUUAUUAAAAUGAUGAGUAUUUAGAGAAUGUUCCCAACAUCAAAGUUAUCAUACAUAUCUUUCCUAAAUUUUAAUACAUUAAAUCUAAUUUUCUCAUCCCCCCAUUCACUGUUUUAUUUACUGAAUUGAAAUAAUUUCUUCUUUUGCUUUCUAUUAUUCCCAAUUAUUGUUGAUAAUACUAUCCAAGAAAUAGUUUCUUCUUUUAAAAAAAUCUGUAUAUAAAAAUAGUUACCUAAUUUUGAUAAUCCUUGGUACAUGACUUGCUAGAGAAAUGUCAAGAUCAUUUCAUUAUAUAAAAACUUGACAAAUAUUGAUAGACAGCCAUGCAAAGGGCAAGCUCAUAUGAAUUUUUAUUUAACUUACUUACCAAUUAUCAUUUUUAAAGGGCAAUUCAGUGUCUGAAGAAAGAGGUUAAAUUAUGCUAGUUUGCAACUGAUUCCUUAGCAAUGAACAUUAAGUAACCUCCAUACUUUCAGGGAGAAGAAAAAUAAGGUAAAUUUUUUGCUUUACAUUUUAAAGAAUCUGAGGCAAAUAUUUAACUAAAUUUCAUGGCUGAAGAGAGGUAGAUUUUAUACACUAUUCUAUUAUUUGAUGAAGUCCCAAUAGUUCACUUUUCCUUUUUUUCCCCUUGCCUCUAGAGGCACGUCUACUAAGAAGCUGCUACAGCCGAAGUCAAAGAGGUUGCUGCCUGUGUUCUCCUCUAGGAUUUUGAUGGUUUCUUGUCUCACAUUUAGGUCUUUCAUCCAUUAUGAAUUUAUUUUGCACAUGGUGUAUGUAAGUGGGACAGUUUUUCUUCUGCAUGUUGCUGUCCAGGUUUCCCAACACCAUUUGUUGAAAAGAGUAUCUUUCUUCUAUUGGAUAUUUUUUCUUGCUUUGUCAAAGAUUAGUUAACUAUAUAGUUGUGGGUCCAUUUCUAGGUUUUCUAUUCUGUUCCAUUGAUCUAUGUGUCUGUUUUUGUGUCAGUACCAUACUGUCUUGAUGGCUACAGCUUUGUAAUACAACUUGAAGUCUGGAAUUGUAAUACCUCCAACUUUGUUUUUCUUUUUCAGAUUGCUUUUGCUAUUCAGGGUCUUUUGUGGUUCCAUACAAAUUUUAGAAUUGUUUGUACAGAUAAAAAGCUUCCACAGAGCGAAGGAAAUAAUCAACUAAACUAAAAGACAGCCUACAGAAUGGGAGAAGAUAUAUGCAAAUGUCACAUCUGAUAAAGGGUUACUAUCCAAAAUCUAUAGAAAACUCAACAAACUCAACACCCCAAAAAUAAAUAAUCCUGUUAAGAAAUGGGCUGAAGACAUGAAUAGAUACUUUUCCAAAGAACACAUGCAGAUGGCCAACAGAUACAUGAAAAGAUGCUCAACAUCACUUAUCAUCAGGGAAAUACAAUUCAAGACCACAAAGGGAUGCCACCUCACACCUGUCAGAAUGGCUAAAAUUAACAGGAAACAACAGGUGUUGGCAAGGAUGCAGAAAAAGGAGUACCCUCUUACACUGUUGAAAGGAAUGCAAACUGGUGCAGCCACUCCAGAAAGCUUAAGGAAUUUUCUCAAAAAGUUAAAAAUAGAACUACUCUAUGACCCAGCAGUUGCACUAUUGGUAUUUACCCAAAGGAUACAAAAAUACUGAUUAAAAGAGGCACAUGCACACUGAUGUUUAUAGCAGCACUAUUAACAAUAGCCAAAUUUAUGGAAACAGCCCAAAUGUACAUUGACUGACGAAUGGAUAAAGAAGAGGUGAUAUAAUGGAAUAUUACUCGGCCAUCAAAAAAGAAUGAAAUCUUGCCAUUUGCAACAACCUGGAUGGAGCUAGAGUGUAUUAUGCUAAGCAAAAUAAGUCAGAAAAAGACAAACACCAUAUGAUUUCACUCAUAUAUGGAGUUUAAGAAACAAAACAGAUGAGCAUAGGGGAAGGGAAAAAAGAGAGAGGGAGGCAAACCAUAAGGGACUCUUAACUAUAGAGAACAAACUGAGGGCUGAUGGAGGGAAGGUGGGCAGGGGAUGGGCUAAAUGGGUGAUAGGUAUUAAGGAGGGCACUUGUGAUGAGCACUGGGUGUUGUAUGUAAGUGAUGAAUCAGUGAAUUCUAUUCCUGAAACCAAUAUGCACUGUAUGUUGACUAAAUAAAAUUUAAAUAAUAAAAAGAAAUAGUUUUAAAAUCUAA